rnacentral:rRNA from 1 species
CCUACGGGAGGCAGCAGUGAGGAAUAUUGGUCAAUGGGCGCGAGCCUGAACCAGCCAAGUAGCGUGAAGGAUGACUGCCCUACGGGUUGUAAACCUCUUUUAUAAAGGAAUAAAGUGAGGCACGUGUGCCUUGUUGUAUGUACUUUAUGAAUAAGGACAGGCUAAGUCAGUGCCAGCAGCCGAGGUGAUACGGAGGAUCCGAGCGUUAAACGGAUUUUAUGGGUUUAAAGGGAGCGUAGAUGGGUUGUUAAAUCAGUUGUGAAAGUUUGCGGCUCAACCGUAAAAUUGCAAUUGAUACUGGCAGCAUUGAGUACAGUUGAGGUAGGCGGAAUUCGUGGUGUAGCGGUGAAAUGCUUAGAUAUCACGAAGAACUCCGAUUGCGAAGGCAGCCUACUAAGCUGCCACUGACAUUGAUGCUCGAAAGUGUGGGUAUCAAACAGGAUUAGAUACCCGGGUAGUC